rnacentral:rRNA from 1 species
AUUGAACGCUGGCGGCAGGCCUAACACAUGCAAGUCGAGCGAGCGGCGGACGGGUGAGUAAUGUCUGGGAAACUGCCUGAUGGAGGGGGAUAACUACUGGAAACGGUAGCUAAUACCGCAUACCAUCAGAUGUGCCCAGAUGGGAUUAGCUAGUUGGUGGGGUAACGGCUCACCUAGGCGACGAACCCUAGCUGGUCUGAGAGGAUGACCAGCCACACGGGAAAUGAGACACGGUCCAGACUCCUACGGGAGGCAGGAGUGGGGAAUAUUGCACAAGGGGCGCAAGCCUAUUGCAGCCAUGCGGCGUGUGUGAAGAAGGCCUUCGGGUUGUAGAGCACUUUCAGCGGGGAGGCGUUACCCGAAGAAGAAGCACCGGCUAACUCCGUGCCAGCAGCCGCGGUAAUAC